CUCGAGCUUCUUUUUCCUCACACAGAGAGCCGCUCGUUAACAGAAACACACCGUCAACACUGCUAACAUGUCAGACAAGAAACAGACCGUGGACCUGGGCUUACUGGAGGAGGAUGAUGAGUUUGAAGAAUUCCCAGCCGAGGAUUGGACCGGGCUGGAGGAAGAUGAAGAUGCACAUGUUUGGGAAGACAACUGGGAUGAUGACAACGUAGAGGAUGAUUUCUCCAAUCAAUUGAGAGCGGAGCUGGAAAAACAUGGUUACAAGAUGGAGACGUCUUAGAGGCUGACGAGCCAGUCUACGAUGACAUUGGAUAUGGACAUUUAUAUUUGAUUAUUACUGGUCGACCCCACACUACCGGAAGACCGUUGAUGAUGUUAAUUUGUUUCUUUUUUUUGUAAGAAAUGCUGAUGGAAGUAAAGUGUUUGGAGAAAUAAGUUCCCUUUCAGUGUUUUUACUGAUCGUUCAUGACAUUUAUAGUUUAUACUUUUGCUUAUUUUAACAUAUAUUUAGGUUAUUAAUAUAGAUUCUAAUCUGGUGCUGCACUGGUCUAAUAUGGAAAAACUGAAUUCCAUUUCUUUAGCAAUCACAGAAACAUUGCUGAAAAAUAGUAUCUGUAAAUUAAUACCCAAUAAAUGCUUUCAUACUU